GACGAACGCUGGCGGCGUGCCUAAUACAUGCAAGUCGAACGCACUCUCGUUUAGAUUGAAGGAGCUUGCUCCUGAUUGAUAAACAUUUGAGUGAGUGGCGGACGGGUGAGUAACACGUGGGUAACCUGCCCUAAAGUGGGGGAUAACAUUUGGAAACAGAUGCUAAUACCGCAUAAAACCUAAACACCGCAUGGUGUAGGGUUGAAAGAUGGUUUCGGCUAUCACUUUAGGAUGGACCCGCGGUGCAUUAGUUAGUUGGUGAGGUAAAGGCUCACCAAGACCGUGAUGCAUAGCCGACCUGAGAGGGUAAUCGGCCACACUGGGACUGAGACACGGCCCAGACUCCUACGGGA
rnacentral:rRNA from 1 species